ACCCUUUCCCGAAAACACAGGGUCUGAGGUCAGCCGAAUCAACAGCCAUUACUGCAAAGCCGACAGAGAACUCUACCCUACGUCCUGUCAGAGAGGGAUAUGCUGAGAACACUUUGUGACUGAAAGACAGUGACCUGCAUCUUGAUUUUCCCAGUCUGGGAGAACAGAGUGCAGAUACAGGCCUUCACGCGGGACUUCAAACAGAGCAGCCCAGCCCAACCUGCACACCAGACUGGAGCUCCAUGCAUCCACACACACCCGCCCUUAUCAGAGCACAACAGGAGGAUGAGGUAAACAACUGAAGAAUUUGCUGUAAAUAAGCCUGUCCCUGUGUUACCGGUGGUUAUGGAACAGCACUCCAACAUUAGAGCUCGCCAUCUUGUUCCAGCAAGUUGUACUUCCACACAGCCUGUGUCUCAAGGGGACAACCUAGGAUACCUGCAGCAAGCACCAGGAAAAACCAUAGCAACACACAACAAAGACUCAGCAUGGCCGCAGGAAAUUAUCUGCAUCAAUCAAAGACUGAAACAUGCUCUGAAUCCAUCUUUAAUCUACUGUGAAUCUAUAUUAGACACAGCAUGUUCUUG